UGACCCCAGGUCAGGCGGGAUUACCCGC
rnacentral:rRNA from 3 species